CCUACGGGAGGCAGCAGUGAGGAAUAUUGGUCAAUGGGCGGAAUCCUGAACCAGCCAUGCCGCGUGCAGGACGACGGCUCUACGAGUUGUAAACUGCUUUUGUACCGGGGUAAAAUGCUCUACGAGUAGGGUUUUGAAUGUACGGUACGAAUAAGGAUCGGCUAAUUCCGUGCCAGCAGCCGCGGUAAUACGGAGGGUCCGGGCGUUAUCCGGAUUUAUUGGGUUUAAAGGGUGCGUAGGUUGUUUUACAAGUGAGCGGUGAAAUACCGGUGCUCAACACCGGGGCUGCCGCGAGUACUGGAGGGCUAGAGACCGCAUGAAGCAGGCGGAAUGGGUAGUGUAGCGGUGAAAUGCAUAGAUAUUACACAGAACACCGAUUGCGAAGGCAGCUUGCU
rnacentral:rRNA from 1 species